rnacentral:rRNA from 1 species
UACGGAGGGUGCGAGCGUUGUCCGGAAUCACUGGGCGUAAAGGGCGCGUAGGCGGUCCGGUAAGCGUGCGGUGAAAGCCUGGGGCUCAACCCCGGGUCGGCCGUGCGAACUGCGGGACUCGAGCACUGUAGAGGCAGGCGGAAUUCCGGGUGUAGCGGUGGAAUGCGUAGAGAUCCGGAAGAACACCGGUGGCGAAGGCGGCCUGCUGGGCAGUGGCUGACGCUGAGGCGCGACAGCGUGGGGAGCAAACAGGAUUAGAUACCCCCGUAGUCC